rnacentral:rRNA from 1 species
UACGAAGGGGCUAGCGUUGUUCGGAAUUACUGGGCGUAAAGCGCAUGUAGGCGGCCAUUCAAGUCGGGGGUGAAAUCCUGGAGCUCAACUCCAGAACUGCCUUCGAUACUGUCUGGCUCGAGUGUGGAAGAGGUUGGUGGAACUGCAAGUGUAGAGGUGAAAUUCGUAGAUAUUUGCAAGAACACCAGUGGCGAAGGCGGCCAACUGGUCCAUUACUGACGCUGAGAUGCGAAAGCGUGGGGAGCAAACAGG